GCCCGCCUAGCUCAAUCGGAUAGAGCGUCAGACUUUUACGGCGGGCUGACCAAUCAGUUGGUUACGUAAUCACAAUCUGAAGGCUGCGAGUUCGACCCUCGCGGUGGGCU